GAUGUUUUAACAUUUGGAAAUAAUCUAUGAUCAAAUAACGAGUUAAGAAUGAGGUGCUAAAAAUCAUGGUUCAUAUUACUUCCAUUUUAUCCAUCACAGUAGAAAUAGAGUAUUAUGAUAGUAUGCUGCUCCAAACAUAGCUUCAUUUCUUUAUUUUGUCAAUAUUCUAUCCAUCUUCUCAGUUUUUCCAUGUUAUAACAUUUUAAACUCGGUAAGGCUUUGUUGGUUACAAAUUGGUAAAUCCAGCUAUUUUUAUAUAUUCAUGAUAAUGUCAGACACUCCAGGGGAUCAGCUGUCAUACAUUAUUAAGCUUUUCCAAACUUACUUUCCUCUGUUUCAAUCAAAAGUGUUUCUUGCUGCUUCUUUUCCCUAUUGCAUUUUGGUUAAGUGCUUAGAAUUUUGGAAUGAGAAUUAUCAGACUAUAACACAUUGCAAAAUAUGGCCUUAUAGGCUAUGUUUGAUGCAGAGUUACCAUGUGAGAUGGUGAGUAAGGUACACCUAGUUGACCUGGCAGGAAGUGAAAGAGCUAAUGCCACACAGGCUACUGGCAUCCGACUGAAGGAGGGAGCCAACAUCAAUAGAUCUUUGGUUACUCUGGGAAUUGUCAUCUCUACUUUAGCUGAUCUGUCCGUUGGUGAUGGAAUGAAAAAUAUGUUUUUCCAGAAAGUUUCCAUACAACAAAAGUUACAUUUGGGCUGUCAAGCUCCAAAAAAGGCCUAAGAAAAGCCAUCUCACCUGCUGACAUAAACUGUAGCGAAACUCUGAACAUGCUUUGUUAUGCCAGCCUAGCCAAGAACAUUUUAAAUAAGCCCACUGUGAAUGAGGACAGCAAUGUAAAGAUUAUCAGAGACCUGCAAGCUGAAAUUGUCCGUCUGAAAGCGCAGCUGUCUGCAGGAAAU